UAGAUAUCGGGAUGGGCCCAUGGAUCAUGGAUGUAUAAUAAGAACAUGGAGGUUUUCUCUGACAGAAGAGGGUCUGGCUUUAGGGCAGCGCUUAGAGUCUUUAGAGGGAACCAAAGGUCCAGAAGGAGAUAGAGAGGAGGCCAGGACAGGAGUGAAGGAAACGAGGAGGAAGAUGAAGAGGAAAGUGGCCCGGGGCUUGUUGACCUCACUGCUAGUGAUGAUGAUGAAGAGGAGAAGGAAGAGGAGAUAAUACAACCUACAGAGAGGCCGACCUCUGCUUCCCAGCCGAGGAUUGUCAUUCCUGGAAUGUUCUUUUCAGGAAAACCCCAAAAUGUACCGGCAACGAGCAGAAACCCAAAUUCAUGGAGUCUUCUUCUUGGCUCCUAGAUCAUCCUCUGUGUUGACUUCAUUGAGACAACUGGUUAAGACAGCUGUGUGUUUUAUCUGUGUGAAUCAAACGUGUGUGUUUCCUGAAUUGUCGGUGUGUUUGUGCAGCGGCAGCAAAAACUGCAAGCAGGAUCUGGUCAGAGCUGCAG